rnacentral:tRNA from 1 species
GGGGAUUUAGCUUAGUGGUAGAGCGCUUGCCUAGCAAGCGCAAGGCCCUAGGUUCAGUCCCCA